rnacentral:rRNA from 1 species
CAGUAGCCGCGGGAACACGUAGGGUGCAAGCGUUAAUCGGAAUUACUGGGCGUAAAGCGUGCGCAGGCGGUUAUAUAAGACAGAUGUGAAAUCCCCGGGCUCAACCUGGGAACUGCAUUUGUGACUGUAUAGCUAGAGUACGGCAGAGGGGGAUGGAAUUCCGCGUGUAGCAGUGAAAUGCGUAGAUAUGCGGAGGAACACCGAUGGCGAAGGCAAUCCCCUGGGCCUGUACUGACGCUCAUGCACGAAAGCGUGGGGAGCAAACAGGAUUAGAUACCCCCGUAGUCCCUGUCUCUUAUAA